rnacentral:rRNA from 1 species
AACGUAGGAGACAAACGUUAUCCGGAGUUACUGGGCGUAAAGGGCGUGUAGGUGGCGCUGUAAGUCGGGUGUGAAAUUUCGGAGCUUAACUCCGAAACUGCAUUCGAUACUGCGGUGCUUGAGGACUGCAGAGGAGACUGGAAUUCCCGGUGUAGCGGUGAAAUGUGUAGAGAUCGGGAGGAACACCGGUGGCGAAGGCGGGUCUCUGGGCAAUUCCUGACGCUGAGGCGCGAAAGCGUGGGGAGCAAACGGG